rnacentral:rRNA from 1 species
UGGGGAAUAUUGCACAAUGGGCGAAAGCCUGAUGCAGCGACGCCGCGUGAGGGAUGACGGCCUUCGGGUUGUAAACCUCUUUCAGCAGGGACGAAGCGCAAGUGACGGUACCUGCAGAAGAAGCACCGGCUAACUACGUGCCAGCAGCCGCGGUAAUACGUAGGGUGCAAGCGUUGUCCGGAAUUACAGGGCGUAAAGAGUUCGUAGGCGGUUUGUCGCGUCGUUUGUGAAAACCAGCAGCUCAACUGCUGGCUUGCAGGCGAUACGGGCAGACUUGAGUACUGCAGGGGAGACUGGAAUUCCUGGUGUAGCGGUGAAAUGCGCAGAUAUCAGGAGGAGCACCGGUGGCGAAGGCGGGUCUCUGGGCAGUAACUGACGCUGAGGAACGAAAGCGUGGGUAGCGAACAGG